GAUCCUGGUGUGUUCACUAAGGCAUAAACAAACUAUCCCAUCUCGACCUAGCACUUGAAAGGUCUUAGAAGCCAACAUACUGAAGGGGGGGCCCUUUGGGAAAGGGGCUUCAUGCCAGGAUC
rnacentral:rRNA from 1 species